GCCGGGCAUGGUGGCUCAUGCCUGUAAUCCCAGCACUUUGGGAGGCCGAGGUAGGAGGAUCACCUGAGGUCAGGAGUUCGAGACCAGUCUGGCCAACAUGGUGAAAUCCUGUCUCUA
ensembl:misc_RNA Metazoa_SRP Metazoan signal recognition particle RNA